CUGAGGGUGAUCUGGCAGUGCCAUCUGCAACCCUGGAAGGGGUUAACCUGUCAGGCAGUGGAACCUCUUCCUCUCACAGCAGUGUGCUCUGCAGGAGAGCAGAACCUUCCUAGACUAAGAACUUGCACCUUGGUUAAGAGUGGAUGAGUAGCCAGGCUAUCCUGUUAGAGCCACAAAGUUGACUCUCAAGGUUCAUUGGCAGGAGCUUUGAAAAUAUGUAUAACACCAAGAAUACUAUUUAGCCCCAAAUUCUAAAUUGUUACGUGUUCCAAAACUUUUCAAACAAUCUCAAGAAUUU
rnacentral:sRNA from 1 species